CAGCCGCCACGGGAAUACGAAGGGGGCUAGCGUUGCUCGGAAUGACUGGGCGUAAAGGGCGCGUAGGCGGCGAUCAAAGUCAGGCGUGAAAUUCCUGGGCUCAACCUGGGGGCUGCGCUUAAUACAGGCAGUCUAGAGUGAGGAAGAGGGUUGUGGAAUUCCCAGUGUAGAGGUGAAAUUCGUAGAUAUUGGGAAGAACACCGGUGGCGAAGGCGGCAACCUGGUCCUUGACUGACGCUGAGGCGCGAAAGCGUGGGGAGCAAACAGGAUUAGAUACCCCCGUAGUCCCUGUCUCUUAUAC
rnacentral:rRNA from 1 species